UGCCAUCGCAAUCGAAUCAGAUCCUCAACGGCCGCUAUCCCAAUCGGAUCACCUCACCCUCAACCGACCGCUGCGCCUCUGGCUUGUCAUCGCAAGACCUCCCAUUGGUGUGAUCCUCCUUCCCCUCCUCACUUGAUUUCAUCCUUGCCAUCGAGUGGUCUUCAAGGGGAUACCGGUGACUCCUCCGAUGGUGGUUGUGGGGUCGUCCGGAGAGGCGGGAAGCAGCGGCGCAUUGGCGGACCGACCGGAAGUUGCCUCAUGCUAGGGUUCCUCCCCACACCCCCGCUGCGCUUCAUCUCCCUCUUGCUGCACCCCUCCCAUCUAUGGUGUCUCUCCCAGUGAGGCAUAGCGACGGGCGUUGGCUGUUCUGGUGCGUGCGCAGCACAUGACGGGCCGAGGGGCGUGGGGUCGAUGGUCGGAGGUCAAAGGCGAGCGGGGGUGGCGGCCGGGAUUCGCGUGUGGUAUUCACCGGCUGUCUGCUGGCUGUGUGCGUGGUGCACAAGUGGUAGUAGCAGCAGCCACGGGCUUUUCUCUGAAUUUGCAUCAACAACAGCAAUAGCAGGGUCAUGGACAAGAUCAUCAAAUCCCUCUGAAUUCUUGCCGGUUCAGGUUCUUUCCAUGCACCGGCUGAUCGAGGUGGUGAAGCACAUGUUAGCCGUGUGGAUGGACCUCGGCAACCCCAGCUUCGUCAAUGUCGCCGGUAACGCGUCCGAGAUGAUGUCGCCGAAGUAGCCGGAGUUCUUGACUUACUAUCUUGUCUUCUGAACUACAAUCUCUGAAUUUAUUUAAGGUUACUUCUCAUAUCUCUAUUCUAAAGUAAAUGCAACAUUUGUCUUGCUUGUUAUGUGGAUGUGCAACAGAUUUGUGCUACAAAGAAGGGUUCAUGUGCAAGGAAGCAUAGAAGAUAUGAGGCAAAAAAAAGAAAAUGAUCAAGGGUAGAAUCAUGCUUGGGAAAUCCAUACAAAAAUCUGAAGUAUGGGUGUUUAAAAAUCUUCCCUUUGCGACUGUUUGUAAAUCUGAAGUAUCAAGACUGUUCUAUUCAUAUAUGAUUUUUUAGUAUGAGGCACAAAACACGCUUACUGAUAUAUAGUUUUGAAAUCAUGCUUGGGAUUUUCUCCCUCCCAUGUUAUAUCCAAUAUUUGCUGUCAAACCUGAACCUGAAUAUCCCGAACCAUUUUCAUUUGUAUUUGAUAGUAGGAUAAAUAACUGCUCCAAAGUCAUCAAGCCAUCAUCAUUCACGGGUUUAAUUUGCAGGUGCUCUACAAGAAUAGAGUUGCGGUUCUGAAAUAAUAGAUGUUCAUCCAAACCUUGCUUGAGUGCAGGUCCAUGAGUCCAGCCUACAGACAACUCAUACAACAAAACAGAGUGAACAACUUAAUCUCUUGUAUGCCUAACUAUGCGGAUAUAGGUAAC